AAAAUUACAAUGAAGUGAUGUCCACCUUUCCGAAAGUUAAAGGCUUGAAUGGGUAUGAUUAUUACCUGUACCAAGGCUUUUGGUACGCUCCCUUCUUCUUGGAAGGACUCAUGUCUGUUCAAGAGGGCUUCAAUCCUCAAUCCACUGAUAUAUUUGUCGCCAGUUUUCCAAAAACUGGCACAACUUGGCUUAAGGCCCUCACUUUUGCUAUUGUCACACGAUCCCGUUUAAGUGGUUCAACAACUAGUUCUUUACUUACCAAGAUGCCACAUGACUGUGUUCCUUUUUUGGAAUAUGACCUUGCUCAAAACCCCAGUAAUCGGGACUUGGCAAUUCCUCUGGUAUCUACUCAUGUUCCUUACACUUGUUUACCUAAAUCUAUCAUUUCUUCUAGUUGCAAGAUUAUUUACAUUUGCAGGGACGCAAAGGAUGCUUUUGUUUCUUUGUGGUACUUUCUUGCCAGGCUGCAAAUGUCGAAAAAUGUUGAACCUCUUCCUCUGGAAGGGGCAUUUGAGUUGUUUUGCAAUGGAAUUGCAAAUUUUGGACCAUAUUGGGACCAUGUUUUAGGGUAUUGGAGAGCAAGCUUCGAGUUCCCUGAGAAGAUAUUGUUCUUGACAUAUGAGGAAAUGAAGCAAGACACAGCUGCUCAUGUUAAGAAAUUAGCUGAGUUCAUGGGUUGUUCUUUCACCUUAGAGGAAGAGGAGGGAGGGGAGGUGCAAAAGAUAAUAAGCAUGUGUAGUUUUGAGAAGUUGAGCAGCUUGGAGGUCAAUAAAAAUGGGAAGCACCGUCCGGACACAUCACUUGCUAUUCAAAACAGUGUAUACUUCAGGAGAGGUGAGAUAGGCGACUGGGCAAAUCACUUGACACCUGAAAUGGGAGCACGUCUAGAUGACAUAAUGGAGCAGAAACUCAAGGGUUCAGGCUUGAAGCUGCCCAGGUGACUGUGCCUAGGGUCCCAUUUGCUUAUGAUUAUUGCCCAAGCGGGUUCAUCAAAAGCUGUUAUCAACAUCUCGUGAAACAGAAACUGUGUAUCCCAAUAAAUACCCUCUUUGUUCAUCUCUUGUAUUUCCUAUCAAGUAUUCACAUUUUGUGAAUCAUCCAUGUCAAUAAGCAAUGUUCUUUUGUGAAUCUGUGUUUGUGACUUUCAUUGAUUUCCUUGCAUGCUUGUAAGAAUUCAAAAUGGGAUUCGUUUUUUUAUUUAUUUAUUUAACACAAGUGCAUGCAUUCCAUUAAUCAGUUGGAUAAAAAAUAAAUUUACUCUAAUAUAUAAUAUUAGAGUGUUUUCUUCACAGAAAUUGCAGUGUGUUUUCUUCACAGUUAUACAUGUUUUAAAAGAACCGAGACAACCCAUACAUGAGGGCGGAGCAAAGACCAACCGAGACAACCAUCCAUUAAGAUUGUUGAAUUGCAGAUCAAAUGAACGUAGGCGGCACAUCUGCUGGAAGGAUCUCGAAAUGCCUUGUAAUUGGUUAAAAUAAAGAUCAAGAUCUGUAGGAGAACUCGUGUUUUCCACUCCUAAAAUAAGCCCAGUUGCCGGCUUCAUGUGCAACAGAGGCACAUAGAGAAUCUGAAAGCAGUUUUUAUGCACUAUCAGCAGAAUAAUUUGAUCAGUCAGAAUGAAAACCCCCCCCCCCAGGCUCACAAAUCUUCUUACUUCAAACAAAUCUUUUGGAACCGAUAUAUAUGUCGAGUGAUGGCUUGAUUUAUACCGGAGAUUGUGUUGGAAAAUUAAAGAAGCAUGGCUUAAUUUGUACCUUGGAUGCGCAAAUUGAUUACAGGGAAAAAAUGACAGAAAGUGAGUUGCAGGGAAUGAAAAAGGCAUUAGUAAACUCAACACCUUUCAGGGUAUCGUUCCUUGGUUUGCUCCCUUUUAUUUCUUAUUUUGUUUUUCCUGCCAUUGUCUAAUGUUUUUCUAACUCGCAGUCUGGUCUCUGCAGAGAAUGAGAAAGCACAAACUCUUUAAGAGAAGAUAUUCUCCGGCAAUGGCAUCAAACAGAAAAGUCCGACGUCAACUAAGUGAGUGUAUAGCGUUGCUGCUGUGUUUACAGAAAAACACCAUUGUCAUGUGUUUGGUUACGGUCUAAACAUAAUUUUUUAUCGGUGAGACCCAUUACCAUUUGCAUUUAAACCGCAAGAUAACCAGAAGCAACUUUAAGCUGCGUUUUGUUUUGAGUUGCAAAUUGUGUUAUAAAUAGAGGCCACAAGAAAAAGAGCAGAAACAGAGCAGUGAAUAGUGAUUAGUGGAGAGCAACUCCCUCUCACCACUGACCUCCGCCAGCCACUGCUUUUUCUCUUCUCCUUCUCUUCUCGUUCUCCUUCGUCUUCUGCAUUCUCUACUGUUCACGUGAACAAUGGAGAGUGGAGAGCAGCUCACCAUCAACCCCUGCUGUUUCCACCGCCAGCCACUGCUCUUCCUCUUCCCCUUCUCCUUCGUCUUUUACGUUCUCCACUGUUAAUGUGAACAGUGGAGAGCAGCUCACCACCGGCCUUCACUAUUUCCACUGCCAGCCACUGCUCUUCCUCUUCCCCUUCCCCUUCUCCUUCCCCUUCUCCUUCUCAUUCAUCUUCUGCAUUCUCCACUGUUCAUGGCCGGACUGGGCCUAGCCCAAACCUAAAUGUAUUUGACUGGGUCCGACCCAGUAAAAUAAAAAAAAAUCCAAAUUUUUUUUCUUAAAUAUUGUGUUUUAUUUGAAAAACUAGUGUUUAAAAUUAUUCAAUGACACUACAUAAUUAUAUUAGAAGGAGAUCGCACGAUGACGUAGCAUGUGCAGAAUUUGAUUGCAAUCCUAAUUUUUUUCCUAAUGAUAUUUUACAUGAUGUAAUGAUAUCUUACCUGAUGUUGGUGCAAGUUCAGGAAGCCAUGGAAACUGUAGUUCUUGUCGGAUGGAUUUCGUAUAUGAUUGAAUUGCAAAUAGUUUAAUGGAACAAUAAAAAAUACUUUAUAUAAAGUAUUGUUUAUUUCAUGAUGUAAUAGCAGUAGUUAAAUCUAUAAUAUUUCAAUUAAAAACCAUCAAUAUUAAUAUAUGUCUUUUUUAGUUAUUUUAUAACCUCAAUUUGAAAAGUAUUCUUUAACCAAACACAUUAAACUACUUUUUGUUCAACCUCAAUUUCAACCACAGUUUUAACCAAACAUAUAUUUUUCCAAACUAAUCUAAACUAAAAGUAUUUUUUAUAAAAACAAUUUUUUUCAAACCACAACAGCUACCACAAUACCAAACACACACAAAAAAAACUGUACUGAUAAGUAAGUUACAAUGCCACCACUGAUUUAGGAUCUGCUUUAGAUCUUAUAAGGUGAAAGUUGAAAGCUAGCAAGAAUCGUCACAGAGAUGAACAGAGAAGUGAAUAGAAUUAGAGGGAGAUACUGCAAUGCAGAGGAAGAAGAAAAACAUUUCUGUGUAUAUUCACUUAUAUUUUUUUACCAGCGCUGUUACAUUCAUUUUAUAUGAACCAAGAUGAGAAGCUUGUUUACGUAAUCUAAUCAACAGUAACAGACUUUGUUAACUGUCUAACAAUAUUAACAAACUUUCUAACCAUUGUAUUCUCUAUUCUCUUGACAGGUGGCAGAAGCAGAGCCUUUGAUAUCUUGACAUUCCCCCUCAAUCACAAGCGUGAAGGAACCAAGCAUAAGAUUGGAACAGUGACGCCGAAAUAAAGGAGUGGAAAGACCUUUAGUUAGGAUAUUAGCAAAUUGAUCGGUAGAAGAGACAUGUUGAACCAACAAAUCACCUUUGACAACACGUUCUCAAACAAAAUGAUAAUCAAUUUGGAGAUGCUUCAUUCUGGAAUGGAAGACUGGAUUGGAAGCAAGGGAAAUAGUUGAGAUAUUGUCAUAAUGAAUUAACGGAGGGAUAUGUAAAGGAAUGUGAAUGUCACAGAGCAGUUGGCGAAUCCAGGCAAGUUUGGCAGCAGCAAUUGCUAGAGCCCGAUACUCAACCUCAGUAGAUGAUCGAGAAACAAUAUGUUGUUUCUUAGAAGCCCAAGAAAUAGGACUGGAGCCGAGGAAAACAAUAGAGCCAGAGACAGAACGUCGAUCAUUGGGAUCGCCAACCCAGUCAGCAUCACUAUAAGCUUGUCGAUUAAGAAGACUAGGCUGAAAAUGAAGGCCAAAAUCAAGGGUACCUUUAAGAUACCGCAAGAUUCUUUUGACAGCCACAACAUAAGAAUGCAUGGGAUUAUGCAUAAAUUGACAAGCUCGGUUCAUAGAGAAAGCAAUAUCGAGCCUGGUGAACGUGAGAUACUGCAAUGCGCCAACUAUGCUCCGAUAUUGUUGUGGAUGAGAGUAGGCUUAGCCAUCAUCUUUGAGCAAAUGAUGAUGAGGAAGACAAGAAGUAUCAAAUGAUUUGGAAUUUUGUAAAUCAACUCUAGCAAGUAAGUCUGUGAUAUAACUUAUCUAGGACACAAACAAACCAGAAGGGAGAUAAGAGAUUUGCAAUCCCAAAAAAUAAUUCAACUUACCGGUAUCCUUCAUAUCAAAUUUCUGAGUCAAGGCAGCAAUGACUGAAGAAAGAAGAGAAUAAUGACUGCUAGUAAGAAUGAUAUCAUCUAAAUAGAGUAGCAAUAUCACAACACUAAGAGAAGAAUGCUGAACAAACAAAGAGGGAUCGACAAGAGAUGCUUGAAACCCCAAACAUGGUAAAAAAACUGGUAAAACGUUCAUUCCAGGCACGAGGAGCCUGUUUAAGGCCAUACAAGGACUUUCUUAGUCUGCAAACAAAGUUAGCAGGAUAAAGCUUACUCAUAAAACCUUGGGGUUGAGUCAUAUAAACCUCCUCAUGAAGAAUACCAUGCAAAAAGGCAUUGGUAACGUCAAGCUACCGUAAGGACCAGUUAAACUGAGCUGCAAGAGUAAGAAUUAAACGAACCAUAGUAGGUUUUAUGACAGGACUGAAAGUUUCAUUAUAGUCAAUUCCUUCCUCUUGAAUGAAACCCUUAGCCACCAAUCGAGCUUUAUGCCUAGCUAUAGAACCAUCCGCAUGCUUCUUGAGUCGGUAGACCCAUUUACAGCCAACAAGAUUCUUAGCAGGUGGGAGAGGCACCAAAUCCUAAGUACCUUAUGCAUGAAGAGCAUCAAUUUCCUCCCACAUAGCAGACUGCCAUUCUGGAAAGGUUGAAGCAGCCUUGAAGGAACUGGGUUCAACCUGAGAAAAAGCAACAGACUAUACAGAGGUAAAGUAAGCCUUUCUUUUGGAAAUACCAUUCUUAAACCUGAUGGUCAUUGGAUGAAGAUUCAUCGGUGAAAGAGGUAAGACCACACACAGAUUCUCAGGUUGGAAGUCAGGAUCAAAUCUAGUGACAAAGAAGCGAUUGGUUUGAAUAAAAAAACAGAAAUACCCUUUAUACUGACCAGCAUACCCCAGAAAAAUACAAGUGGAAGUUUUGGGCUGAAGUUUGUUAGUAUUAUAAGGCUUGAGUAAAGGAAAACAAGCACAACCAAAAAUCCACAAAUGAGUAAUGACCAGUGGAGAACCAUAUAACAGGAAAUAAGGUGAUUUGAGUUGAAGAAUUUGACAGGGCAUUCUAUUAAUCAAAUAAAUAGAAGUAGCACAAGCACGAAACCAAAAUUUUGGAGGUAAAUGGGCAGUUUGUAACAGAGUGAUGGCUGUUUCUAAAAUAUACCUAUGUUUGCGCUCAGCAAGGCCAUUCUGUUUCGGAGUAUAGGGACAGGACAUUUGAUGGACAAUACCCUUGGUAAAGAGGUAAUGUUUGAAUUUAGUACUAAGAUACUCACCACCCCCAUCACUUUGAAAGACUCGAAGAGUAGCAGAAAAUUGAGCAACUAAAAAGGUAUGAAAGUAGGCAAAAAUGGAAUAAACCUCUCCUUUAUUGAUCAUCAGAAAAAACCAAGUAAAUCGAGUACAUUCAUCAAUGAAACUAACAUAAUAUCUGAAACCUUCAACAGAUACAGUGGGAGAAGAACCCCAAACAUCACUAUGUAUGACCUCUCAAGGUUUAACAAAUUUAACUGCGGGAUAGGGAAAAGGAAGUUUAGCAAGUUUACCCUCUAAAAAAGUGGUACAAACGAAUUUGGAUGUGUUUGAAGUGAAAGAAAUCUGGGAUUGAUUUAACAGAGUAGAGGUGACUAUGUUAGAGGGAUGACCAAAACGCUUGUGCCAGAGACUUGUGUUGACCUGUUUACCAAGAUAGCAAACUUGAUUAUUUUGAAAGAGAGAUUAUGAAGGAAACGAAAUGGAGAAAGGAAUAGGAUAUAACCCAGCUCUACACAGUCCCUUGAGAAGGACAUUUCCCAUGAAUUUGUCCUGAAUCCAAAAACCAAAAUCAUCACAAAUAAAUCGACAGUUGUUAUCUUUACACAACUUAUGAACCGAUAAUAAGUGUUGAGAUAGCUUAGGCACAUGCAAAACUUGCUUUAAUUGUAAUGAGCAUUGAUGAACAUCUAAAAUAAAAGAACCAAUAUUAGAAAUGGUCAAACUUGAACCUCCUGUAGUGGUAACAGUAUCAGAUCCUGAGAAAGGUGUAGCCAGAUUGAGUUGAGCCAAAUCAGAAGUCAUAUGUGUUGUGGUGCCAUUAUCAGCCAGCCAUAAUUGUUCAGGAGGGGAAGAAGAUGGAAAAUUGGCAUGCAUAGCACUAAGAUUACUGGAGGGAGGCCUGCCUUGAUAGCUGAAAUUACCUCUAUGAUAACAUUGAACGGCAGAGUGCCCAAAUUUUCAACAAAUUUGACAUUGAAUGGAAGUGGCAAAAGUACUUAGCAGAGUGUGGCGUUGAUAACAAUUAGCAGCUACAUGACCUUUUUUAGUACAAAUUUGACAUGUAGGAAUGUCAAUGCCAGAACCAAGAAUGCCAGGAUUAGAAGUAGGUGGAACCUAAUAAGGGCGUGGACUAGAUUGAUAAUGAUUACGUCCUCUGCCAUAACCCUUAAAAUUAAACCCCUGAUUGCCAAAGUAUCCUCCAGUAGAACCAUGAAAGCUACUGUGAUGACCAUUAAAUCCUCCAUUGAAACCAGAAGGAAAUUAAGAUGGUGGAGCAGACUUGGAGCUAGAAGGAUGAGAAUUAGAGUUACCUUUAUCAAGAGCAAGAGCCUUGCCAGGAGAUAUUUGAUGUUGAGCCAUCACUGCAGGAACAAACAGGGAAGCAGAAUAAGUUUGCUCAAGAAUGGCUUCUUCAGCUAGCAAUUGAGACCGAAAAUCUUUAAGGGAUAACACGUUGUCUCGGUCGCGAACAAUACACCUAAAGGUGUUAUAAUUAGAAGGAAGACCAUUGAGAGCCAAGAUUACAAUAUCAUCAUCUUCAAAAUAAACCCCUGCUACAGAAAGAUGGUCUCGAGCAUCUUUGAUCUUUUACAGAUAUUGAGACACAGAAUCUGAGCCCUUCUUGAUGGUUUGAAGCUCACUUUUCAUCUGAAAAAUAUGUGCCUUAGUAAUUGUGGAAAAUCUAUUCUUCAGUUGAAUCCACAUGUCAUGAGAGCUAACACAUUCAAUAACAUAGGAGAUUGCAGUUGAUGAGAGAGUAGCAAUAAUCAACUGCAUCAAUGUCCGGUCAUACAUUUUCCAAACCUGAUGAUCAUCAGUUUCAACACAUUCAAGGUCAGCAUCUGCAUCAAACCGAUUUGGACACUUUCUUGAUCCAUCAACAAAUCCUAAAAUACCAUAACUCUCAAGUAGAAUAUGCAUAUGAAAAUUCCAGAUGAGAUAAUUUGUGUCAUCCAGCUUGACUGUUACAGCUGUUGAAACUGUAGGAAGUAAACAGGUAAUAGGAGAUUGAACAAUUUAAAGUUGAGAAGUAGUCACCAUUUUAGAGUUCAAGAGAUAGCGAGGAAGAGAAUCACAUACGAUAGGCAUAGUCCCAGAUUUGAGAAGAGAGUUGAAGAAGAAUUUUUCAGUUUGACAAUAUAUCAAAUAGAUGAUAGGUAGAUCAAUUAUUAUGAAAGAAUUGGUUGAUUAAGGCGAUAAUAAUACCAGAAACAGAGAGUAGCAAGAUAUUAGAAGCAGAGAAAUCACAGGAUCACAAGAUAAUAACAAUCCUAAGCUCUGAUACCAUGAAAGCUAGCAAGAAUCAUCACAAAGAUGAACAGAGAAGUGAAUAGAAUUAGAGGGAGAUACUGCAAUGCAGAGGAAGAAGAAAAACAUUUCUGCAUAUAUUCACUUAUAUUUUUACCAACAUUGUUACAUACAUUCAUUUUAUAUGAACCAAGAUGAGAAGCUUGUUUACGUAAUCUAAUCAACAAUAACAGACUUUGUUAACUAUCUAACAAUAUUAACAAACUUUUUAACCAUUAUAUUCUUUAUUCUCUUGACAGGGCAGAAGCAGAGCCUUUGAUAUCUUGACAAAAGUAAAACACAAGGAAAUGCAUGCAUGCACACCACUAAUCUUUGAUUCUGGCGAGAACAGUGAUGACUACACUCUGAACCAAAUAGAAUUACAUUCCGAGAUGAAGAAAUUAAUAACACAGAGCAGUGCUAUAAAGCUACAUGUGAAACCAGAGAUUAAUAAGCAAUGCUGAAAAUUUUAUCAAGCAUAAGACGAGAGAAGCAUAGGACAUAUUUUUCCCACAAUUGAAUAUGUGAAUUGAGCACAGAUUUCCCUGUUGCAAACUGUUCCUAAUUUCUCAAAUGAUUAACUAGAAUACGAGUUGCACUUAAAAUUUUAAAGCAACAUAUAUGCUCUUGAUUUUUAGUGAAUUGCUGAAACAAACAUACAAGCUCGAUCACACCUCUAGAACAGAGUGACAGUUCAUGGUGACCUCAAAGACUGCAUCAAGUCCUCCAAGCUCUCGUAACUUUUCCCUAAAGCCCCCCCCAGUCUUCCUUAAUUACCAUGCCAGAUGUAUCUGAAUGAAUGCAACCCAUACAGUGAAAUGAAUAAGCAAUCAGAAAAGGAGAGAGAGAGAGUGAAAAAAUUUGUCACAAAACUAGAUAAUGGCGACCACAUAUCAAUAAUUCGAGAUAUGACGUGGGGCACUUUCAUCGUGAUUAUUGUUUGUCCAAUAAUGUUGGAUGUAUUAUUUCUUGUUAAGACUUUUUAGGUUGUGAAAAGUCCAAGAUGUAGUAUAAUAAAAUAAAUAUAACCUUUGAUUUUAUCAUUUAUAUUGAGCUGAAAUUUUGACAUACAAUUCUAAAGAUUUUGUGGUUAAAAUUUCAAGAUCUUAAAAAAAAGACCUUUAAAUAAGGAUUUAAAGUUACUAUGAGAUGGUCUUUAUUUACCUAUUUGGUAUUGUUUUUAUUUAUAUUAGGAAUUUUAAUUUAAUUAGUAUUUUAUUAUUAAAAAAUUCUAAUAAUAGAUUGAUUCUAUUAGUUAGGCAAGUUUUAAAUACAAUUUAUUUUUCUAUACAAAAUUUUAUAUCUAGAACAAAUAUAAAUAAAAAUAUUUAGUUUAUUUUUUGUUCGGGUAUUCAUAUUAUUAUUAAGAUUUUUUAAAAAUAUUUAGAGAUUUUUUUUUAUUUCGCUAUUGUGUUAGGACUAUAACCUUAAGGUUUGGAUGUUUGUGAAAGUGGAAGCGGUUACUUUUUAAAAUGUUUUUCACUUAGAAAUGCAUCAAAAUCAUAUAUAUAUUUUUUAUUUUUUAAAAUUAAUUUUUGACAUCAAAACAAUGCAAAAACACCAAAAAAUUAAUUUGAAAAAAAAUCAAAAAUUUUGAAAACCUCGAUCAAAAUGUUGUACCAAACACCCUCUUAGUUUUAUCUUAUUUUUAAAAAAUAAUUCUUGAUAUUAGCAAACAAAACAAUUUAAUAACACAAAAAAAUUAAUUUUAAAAAAUCAAAAUCUUAAAAAACUCUCGUCUAAAUGUUUGCUUUUAGUUUUAUCAUCGUUGCACUGCGUAAAGAUGCUAAAAAGAAAAUAGUUGAUAUAGCCACCUAAGUGCUGGUGGUGUUUCAGAGUGUAGUAGCGAUUGUUUUUUAAAGUGUUUUUUACUCGGAAAUGCAUUAAAAUAAUAUUUUUUUAUUUUUAAAAAAUUAUUUUUAACAUCAGCAUAUCAAAAUGAUCUGAAAAUACUGAAAAAAAUAUUAAUCUAAAUUAAAUAAAAAAAUAAAAAAAAAUCAAUCUCUUUUAAAAAUAUUUUUAAAAUGCAGAAACAAACAGGAUCUCUCAACCUGCUACAAAUAACUGCUGCAAUGGCCUUUCUUUAAUAUUUUACUUACACCAUUCUGCACAAUAUUUUCUUUUGUACAUCCAUGGAACCCUCUUUGCCUUCUACACAAAUUCAAAGCCCAUGCUAAAAACUACAAGGAAAUGAUCUCUACCUUUCUACAAGUUAAAGGCUUUUGGUACUUUCCGUCCUUCUUGGGAAGACCCAUCUCAGUUCAAGAACACUUCGAGCCUCAAUCCACUGAUAUAUUUGUCGUCAGCUUCCAAAAACGAAGGAAAUCUUUGGUUAAUGUUCUCUAAUAAGUACUAACACCUUUUCUCCUUCAACAGUGAAAUUUACGUGCCUUUCACACCUUUUUACGUUCGAACAUUUCAUUUGUUCUUGUGCUCUAAAUUCUAAAUUGAGUCUGUUUUUGUGAGUUCCAUUCUUCUAUUUAAAAGAUUAGAAAACGCAAGAUUGCAUCAAUGCUAAAUGCAAUUUCAAUAUCUGUGUGUGUGUCAAAUGCAUGGUGAUGUUACAUGAUGUGUUUGUUUUUACGUUUCAAAAAUAUUUUUUUAAAAUUAAAUUUUAUUUAUUUAUUUUUUAUUUUAAAUUAAUAUUUUUUAGUUUUUUCGGAUUAUUUUAAUUUACUGAUAUCAAAAUUAACUUUUUUAAAAUAAAAAAAAUAUUAUUUUAAUACAUUUCUGAGUAAAAAAUACUUUGAAAAGUAACUGCUACUACACUUCCAAAUAUACCCUUAAAAAAACAAAGUUAUGGAGUUGGAGGCUCUAAAUAUUCCUCAAAAUAUCAAGUCUUAAGGGCUCGGAGCUAUUAUCCAGUCUUAAAAUUUUUGCAUUUUAAAAAUAUUUUUAAAAAAAUGAAUAUUUUUUACUUUUUUUUAUUUUAAACUAUAUUUUUUUCUUUCUGUUUUUAUAUUGUUUUUAUGUAAAAAAUAAAUUUUAAAAAAUAUAAAAAUAUUUUUUUAAAAACAAUCACCAUACAAUAACAAAUAAAAUAUUAAUAUGAAAUAAAAUCUAAUUCUACCAGCAGACAGCUGAUAAGAAUACUAAAAAAGUGUAAAUUUUGACUUAAUUCAAUUAUUAGAAUUUGGGGCAGCGUAACAGUGUCAAAGAAAAUGUCAGAAAAGUAGGGCAAACAGUGCAAAUACCUUGGAUGAUGGUGACCAAAUAUUUGUAAUUUGAGACAUCUCGUUCUUGAAAAGAAAUAGUUAAUAGUGCCAAUAAUUUUUUUUUAUUAAUUUGAGGUGUUCAGACCAGUUUGCAUGCACCUCGACUAAUACUUACGGUUCUUGAAGUUAACGAAUAAAUAAGCCUCCAGUGGCCAUCAAUAUUAACAACUACAAGGCUCGAACUUGAGACCACAGGGGGGCAAACCCCUUGAUCCAAAACUCUUACCACUUGACCACCUACUAGAUGGUUAGUACCAAUAAUUAAUUUGCUCUCAACUUGCUACAAAUAGCUGCCAUGAUCACAUAUUCAAGAAACACUAGUUUAAGAGCUUGGGAUCAAGAGGUUUGCUCCCUCUGUAGUCUCAGGUUCAAGCCCUGUGGUUGCUCAUAUGAUGGCCACUGGAGGCUUACAUGGUCGUUAACUUCAGGGCCCGUGGGAUUAGUAGAGGUGCGUGUAAGCUGGCCCGGACACCCACGUUAAACUAAAAAAAAAAAAACACUAGUUUAUAAACCCUGAGGGGUAGCUCAACUGGUUAGAUUUUGAGUAUGUUUCCUAAUAAUCACGAGUUUGAGUUCUUUUAGGCCAACUGGAGGCUUACAUAGUUUUAAACUUCAGGACUCGUGAAAUUAGUAAAGGUACAUACAAAUUCAGUGGUGGAGCCAGAAAUUUUUAAAUGAGGAGGCAAAUUACUAACAAAUAUUUGAUAUUAUAUGCUAUACAUAUAUAUGUUAUAUAUAGAAAUGAAUUUGAAAUACAUGUGCCUCAAGUCAAGCAAAAUUAAUUUAAGAAUACUUUUAAAAUGAAAAAAACUUAUGUUAUAAUUGUUUUCUUCGAGAUUUUAUAUUUUAAAACUGCUUCAUAAUAAUUUUAUUUUUAAUUUCAUUAAAAAUAUAUUUCUCAAUAUAUACAACAAACUUUCAUUUAUCUAUUUCUAAAUCUUCCAAGUACUAGGAAAGUUGUUGACAACAAUUUUAUGCUGACAUAUGGUACAUAACAUCUAAAAUCAUAUCUUAAAAGAAUUGUCAUAAAUUGAAGUUGUUCUUACUGACUUGUUGUUUUGUACAAGUAGAUUAAAUAUAAAUAUUAAAUGUUUUUUUAAAUUUAUCUAUUAUGUCUCUAAUUUUUUUAGUUGUCUUAUACUUCAUUUUUAAUCAUUAGUAAAUUCAUUAUCAUCGUUUUUCAUAUGAAAUUCAUAACAAAACUUAUCAAUUCAUCAAAACUCAUUUCAAUUCAUAUCCAUUAGCAUAUAAUAUUACCCAUACACAUAUUAAUUCAACAAACCCAUAAAUUAUUAUAAACCCUAACAUUUUUAAUAACUAAUUUUUGGAGAUGUAGACCCAGUAUUUUUGGAGCUUCCAUAUCUAGUUGACCUAUCAGGAAGAGAUGAAGUUAACGUUUGGGAAUGCGGUGCAAACCAUGUUCCCCUAAAAUUAAAUUUUUUUUUGUUAAAAAUUAAUUUUUUGGUAUAUUUUGGAUCGUUUUGAUGCGCUGAUCUCAAAAAUAAUUUUUAAAAAAUAAAAAAACAUCAUUUUGAUGCAUUUCGGCACAAAAAAUACUUUGAAAAGCAACUGUAACCACACUCCUAUACAAGUAAAGUCUCUAACAGCACAAGUAUAAAAAAUAUAACUGCUGGGCAAACCAACUCUUUUCUCAAACCCAUCAGUUGCCUCAUGAUAUAUAUAUAUAUAUACACAUAUAUAUAUAUAUAUAUAUAUAUAUAUAUACACACACACACCAUGCAUAGAAUUCAUGGAUAAAAGAAAGGAAUUGGAUCUGAUUUGAGGUGGGGGGAUUGCCCCCUCUUGCCUUUAUGUGGCUCCGCCACUAUAUAAAUUAGUUUGGAUAUUUACAUUAAUUAAAAAAAAAAUACUGGUCUAGAAAAGCGAUCUACAAGGUGAUUAUUUAGUUGACUAAUUGAAUCUGUUUUUUAUAAAAAAAAUAUUUUAGAAGAUAAUUUUUAAUAAUUUUAGAUUUUUUUAUAUAUAAAUAUCAAAAAUAAAAUUAAAAAAAUAACAAAAUAUUAUUUUAAUAUAAUUUUAAAUAAAAAACACAUUUAAAAAAACUUAAUAGUAUACUCUCAACCAAGGUUGUCAAUUCCGUUUCGGUAGGUGUUUCGUUUUUUUAAUUGGAAUGGAAUGUUUCAGUUUCGGAGUGUUUCGGCGUGCCGUUCCGGGGUUGUACUGUUCAUAUAUAUAUAUUCAACAAACAUAAUUCAAAUUCAAGAUAAAUUAAUUAUAAAUUAUGCAAUACAAACACAAUGCCAAACAAAUAUAAUUUCAAAAUUUAAAAUAUUUCUAAAUAGUCAAGAUUAAAUAGAUCUUUACCUUAAAGUAAUUCAACUUAAACAAAAUAUCAAAAUAUUAUGAAAGUAAAAUGUUUUAACAUAAAUAUUUUAAAUAUAAAGUUAGGUCAAUGUUAUCAAGGCUAAUUGAAUCUAAAGCAUCCCUUGGUUUGCUCAAAUUUCUACAAAGUAUAAACAUGAAAAAAAAACAUGAAUAUAAACCUUAUAUAUUAGUGAUAAAUCUAAUUUUAAAAAAUUAAUAUCAUUGUUAAUGAAAAUAGUAAUAAUAAUUUUCAAUAUUAUUAUUAAUAUCAUUGUUAUUGAAAAUAGUAAUGAAAAAGAGCCUUUUAUAAUUGGGUGAUUUAAUUAAUUAAAUUGAACAAAAUUCAAUUUGAUUCAAUGGAUUUUCAAGAACGGAACGAAACAAGUGGAAUGAAACCGGAACGUUCCGGGUGGAAUUUAGCCGAAAAAUACAGAACAGACCGAGAUUUAAAAUAAAAUGAAAUUUAUUUUAUUUUUUAAAUUGGUAUGAAAUAUUUCGUUUAUUUCAUACGAAACAAAACAGAAUUGACAACUUGCUCUCAAGCACCCAAAAUAGAGGAUUCAAUUGUAUUGUGGGUUCCACACCAUUUAAAGCUUGCAAAGAAGGAUUUGAAACACAAUCACACUAAAGAUUUGCAAUGGAAUAUAAUAUAAAAUAAUACCCAAUGGCAUCAGCGGACAUGUAAUCAAUAAUAUUAAAAUACAGUAAAUUUUGAUUUAAUUCAAUUAUUGGAUUCUAGGCAGCGUGACAAUGUCAGAAAAUCUUGGAUGAUGGUGACCAAAUAUAUCAGUAAUUUGAGACAACACGUUCCCGAAAGGUAAUAGCUGAUGGUGCCAAAAAUUAAACCAGCUCUCAACUCGCUACAAAUAGCUGCCAUGGCCUUUCAUUCUACCUUAUAUUUCUUUUUUAACUUUCAUGGAAUCCUCUUUGCCUUCCUCCCAAAUCUUGGAUUCUGAUGGAAAUGCUGAGAGGAAAAAUGAAGCUAAAAAUUACAAUGAAGUGAUGUCCACCCUUCCAAAAGUUAAAGGCUUGAGGGGGGAUGAUUAUUACCUGUACCAAGGCUUUUGGUACGCUCCCUUCUUCUUGGAAAGACUCAUGUCUGUUCAAGAGCACUUCCAUCCUCAAUCCACUGAUAUAUUUGUCGCCAGUUUUCCAAAAACUGGCACAACUUGGCUUAAGGCCCUCACUUUUGCUAUUUUCACACGAUCCCGUUUAAGUGGUUCAACAACUAGUUCUUUACUUUCCAAGAUGCCACAUGACUGUGUUCCUUUUUUGAAUUAUAACCUUGCUCAAAACCCCAGUAAUCGGGACUUGACAAUUCCUCUGCUAUCUACUCAUGUUCCUUACAGUUGUUUACCUAAAUCUAUCAUUUCUUCUUGUUGCAAGAUUAUUUACAUUUGCAGGGACGCAAAGGAUGCUUUUGUUUCUUUGUGGUACUUUCAUGCCACGUUGCAAAGGUCGAAAAAUGUUGAGCCUCUUCCUCUGGAAGAGGCUUUUGAGCUGUUCUGCAAUGGAAUUGCAAAUUUUGGACCCUACUGGAACCAUGUUUUAGGGUACUGGAGAGCAAGCUUGGAGUUCCCCGAGAAGAUACUGUUCUUGACAUAUGAGGAAAUGAAGAAAGACACCGCUGCUCAUGUUAAGAAAUUAGCUGAGUUCAUGGGUUGUUCUUUCACCCUAGAGGAAGAGGAGGAAGGGGAGGUGCAAAAGAUAAUAGGCAUGUGUAGUUUUGAGAAGUUGAGCAACUUGGAGGUGAAUAAAAAUGGGAAGUGCCUUCUAGACAUAUCAAUUCCUAUUCCAAAUAGUAUAUUCUUCAGGAAAGGUGAGAUAGGCGACUGGGCAAAUCACUUGACACCUGAAAUGGGAGCACGUCUAGAUGACAUAAUGGAGCGGAAGCUCAAGGGUUCAGGCUUGAAGCUGCCCAGGUGACUGUGCCUGGGCCCCGUUUGCUUAUUAUUAUUGGCUUAGUGGGUUCGUCAAAAGCUGUUAUCAACAUCUCGUGAAACAGCAACCGUGUAUCCCAAUAAAUACCCUCUCUGUUCAUCUCUUGUAUUUCCUAGCAAGUAUUCACAUUUUGUGAAUCAUCCAUGUCAAUAAGCAAUAUUCUUUUGUGAAUCUGUGUUUGUAACUUUCAUUGAUUUCCUUGCAAGUUUGUAAGAAUUAAAAAUGGGAUUCGUUUUUUAUUUAUUUAUUUAACACAAGUGCAUGCAUUCCAUUAAUCAGUGAUAAAAAAAAAUAAAAUUACUCUACUAUAUAAUAUUAGAGUGUUUUCUUCACAGAAAUUGCAGUGUGUUUUCUUCACACUGCAAUACAUGUUUUAAAAGAACCGAGACAACCAUACAUGAGGGCGGAGCAAAUACCAACCGAGACAACCAUCCAUUAAGAUUGUUGAAUUGAAGAUCAAAUGAACAUAGGCGGCACAUCUGCUGAAAGGAUCUCGAAAUGCCUUGUAAUUGGUUAAAAUAAAGAUCAAGAUCUGUAGGAGAACUCGUGUUUUCCACUCCUAAAAUAAGCCCAGUUGCCGGCUUCAUGUGCAACAGAGGCACAUAGAGAAUCUCCCCCCCCCCCCCUCCAGGCUCAGAUCACAAAUCUUCUUACUUCAAACCAAUCUUUUGGAACCGAUAUAUAUGUCGAGUGAUGGCUUGAUUUAUACCGGAGAUUGUGUUGGAAAAUUAAAGAAGCAUGGCUUAAUUUGUACCUUGGAUGCGCAAAUUGAUUACAGGAAAAUAUCAAAAAAAAAUUUCCUUUCUUUAUAACUUAUGAAGAGUAAAAUAAAAAAAAAGUUAAUAGUAAAACAAAAUAACCCCAAGUGUACAUUAUCAAUGCAAAACUAGAUUUUUCCUUAUUUUAUAUCCCUUUCUUUUGAUAUACUUCUUCUUUUAUGCCCCUUUCUUUUGGUAUAUCUCUUCUUUGUAUCUUUUGGUGUUAAUCACUUUGUUGAAUGCCUCUGUUGAUAUCUUUUAUAACUCACUACAGUGAUUUGAACAUUGAAAAUGUUUCCUUUUAAAAAAAAAAAAUAGAGAAGGCAUUUUGAUUUCAUCUUCAAUUUUUCUGCAUGUCUUCUUCUUUCAAAGUAUUGGGUUUAAAACACAAUCAUGCUCUACAUCAUGCUUUGAGUUUUCCAGGUUAUUUUCAGAAAGAUUUGAUAUAUUUGACCUGAAAGAAAAAAAGGAUGUACAAAGCUUUGCAUUUCUGGAACGUCUUUUCAUCAUGCUCUACAUGAUUCAAUCACAUUGCUCACAUCUACAUGAGUAACCAGAAAAGCAAGUAUUUCAUCGGAUUCUACAUGAUUCGAUCACUUCGCUCACAGCUUUAUGAGUCUCUGGUGAUAUCGUGUUUAAUUAAAUAGAAUAUUUAUUAUAAGAAACAGAUUUAUCAAAUAUAAUUGAGUAUAUGCCUCAUCAUAUCAAAUAUUUUAAUUAGAUGUAACUAUCUAGGUGGUGGUUCAGUGGUAAAAGUUUGGGACCAAGAUGUUUGUUCCCUCUGUGGUCUCAGGUUCGAGCCCUGUGGUUGCUCAUAUGAUGGUCAUUGGAGGCUUACAUGGUCGUUAACUUCAGGGCCCGUGGGAUUAGUCAAGGUGCACGCAAGCUGAUCCGGACAUCCAUGUUAAACUAAAAAAAUAUAUAUAUUUUAAUUAGAUGCGUGUGUACAAGUAUUUUAAUUUAUGAUUAAGAAUUUUUUUAUAUCAAAAAAAAAUUAAAAAGUCUGUAUAUUUAUUUUUCCUUGUUAAAACAAUUAUCUGAAAUAGCCAGUAAUCAACUAACUAUGAAAGAUAAGAUUGAGAAUUGAGAAGUUUAUUUGUCAGCAGACAGUAGCUUCAGUAGAUGGAAAAAGACUCUCUAGAUCACCGGAUCAAUUCCCACCUUCAUGAACUAUUUUUUAUUAGUACAGAAAGCUUCAUAUCAGUCAAAACUCUCUCUCUCUCUCUCUCUCUCUCUCUCUCUCUCUAAAUGGAUCAGAGACUACACAAAUAUAGAGGUGGAGCUUCACAUUAAGCUUCAGAUCAAUUUUCUAUUUUAAAAUCUCAUAAGUUUGGUCCAUUGAUUGCCCUAGAUUGCCCUAGAUUUUCCUGUGUUUUAUAUCCUUUUCUUUUGACAUUUUUUUUAAUCUUUUUCCAGGCCAAAAUCCUAAUUUAAUGUUUGAAAUUGAGAUGAUAAUUAUUUAACUAGAAAAUAUAUUAAAAUAAUAUUUUUUAUUUUUAAAAAUUUAUUUUAAUCAUCACCACAUUAAAACAAUCUAAAAUUAUAUAAAAAAAUUAAAAUAAUAAGAUUUAAAAAUAUUUUUUAAACACAAAAACAAACACAAUCAUCACUCAUAUAUCAUGAGAUUUGCAUUUAGACAUUAAAAUUCAAGAAGAAAUUAAGUUCACCGUACUAUUAAUUCAGUCGAUGAAGGAUUAGUCCCAACUACUUUAGGCCACCAUUAAUUACUUUAUUUAAAUGUAUACUUCUUUAUUAAUUCAGUCGAUGAAGGAUUAGUCCCAACUACUUUGGGCAUUUUAACUCCAUCUUCAAUUACUUUAUUUAAAGGUAUCCUUCUUUCUUAGAUAUUGAAUUUUGAAAACACAAUCAUGCUAAAGAUUUGUCAACGAAUUGUUUUUUAAAAUAAAAAAAUAUUUUAAAAAAUAAUUAAUACCAUACUACCGAGCAAAUGAAGUUAUGUGGAGGGUUCCGCACCAUUUAAAGGUUGUAAAGAAAGGUUUAAAACACAAUGACGAUAAAGAUUUGCUAUCGAAUAUAAUAUGAAAUAAUAAUACCCAAUUGCAUCAGCGGACAUGUGAUCAACAAUAUUAAAAUUCUGUAAAUUUUGAUUUAAUUCAAUUAUUGGAAUUCCAGGCAGCGUGGCAAUGUCAGAAAAUCUUGGACGAUGGUGACUAAAUGUUUGUAAAUGGAGACGGCACGUUCGCGGAAGGUAAUAGUCGAUGGUGCCAAAAAUUAAAUCAGCUCUCAACUCGUUACAAAUAGCUGCCAUGGCCUUUCAUUCUACAUUAUUUUUUCUUUUUUCACAUUCAUGGAAUCCUCUUUGCCUUCCACCCAAAUCUUGGAUUCUGGUGAAAGUGCUGAGAGGAAAAAUGAAGCUAAAAAUUACAAUGAAGUCAUGUCCACCCUUCCAAAAGUAAAAGGCUUGAAUGGGUGUGAUUAUUACCUGUACCAAUGCUUUUGGUACGAUCCCUCCUUCUUGGAAGGAAUCAUGUCUGUUCAAGAGCGCUUCAAUCCUCAAUCCACUGAUAUAUUUCUCGCCAGUUUUCCAAAAACUGGCACAACUUGGCUUAAGGCCCUCACUUUUGCUAUUUGUACACGAUCCCGUUUAAGUGGUUCAACAACUAGUUCUUUACUUUCCAAGAUGCCACAUGACUGUGUUCCUUUUAUGGAAUAUGACCUUGCUCAGAACCCAAGUAAUCGGGACUUGGCAAUUCCUCUGGUAUCUACUCAUGUUCCUUACACUUGUUUACCUAAAUCUAUCAUUUCUUCUUGUUGCAAGAUUAUUUACAUUUGCAGGGACGCAAAGGAUGUUUUUGUUUCUUUGUGGUACUUUCUUGCCAGGCUGCAAAUGUCUGAAAAUGUUGAGCCUCUUCUUCUGGAAGAGGCUUUUGAGUUGUUUUGCAAUGGAAUUGCAAAUUUUGGACCCUACUGGAACCAUGUUUUAGGGUACUGGAGAGCAAGCUUGGAGUUCCCCGAGAAGAUACUGUUCUUGACAUAUGAGGAAAUGAAGAAAGACACCGCUGCUCAUGUUAAGAAAUUAGCUGAGUUCAUGGGUUGUUCUUUCACCCUAGAGGAAGAGGAGGAAGGGGAGGUGCAAAAGAUAAUAGGCAUGUGUAGUUUUGAGAAGUUGAGCAACUUGGAGGUGAAUAAAAAUGGGAAGUGCCUUCUAGACAUAUCAAUUCCUAUUCCAAAUAGUAUAUACUUCAGGAAAGGUGAGAUAGGCGACUGGGCAAAUCACUUGACACCUGAAAUGGGAGCACGUCUAGAUGACAUAAUGGAGCGGAAGCUCAAGGGUUCAGGCUUGAAGCUGCCCAGGUGACUGCGCCUGGGUCCCAUUUGCUUCUGAUUAUUGCCGAAGUGGGUUCAUCAAAAGCUGUUAUCAACAUCUCGUGAAACAGCAACUGUGUAUCCCAAUAAAUACCCUCUCUGUUCAUCUCUUGUAUUUCCUAGCAAGUAUUCACAUUUUGUGAAUAAUCCAUGUGAAUAAGCAAUGUUCUUUUGUGAAUCUGUGUUUGUAACUUUCAUUGAUUUCCUUGCAAGUUUGUAAGAAUUAAAAAUGGGAUUCGUUUUUUAUUUAUUUAUUUAACACAAGUGCAUGCAUUCCAUUAAUCAGUGAUAAAAAAAAAAAAAUUACUCUACUAUAUAAUAUUAGAGUGUUUUCUUCACAGAAAUUGCAGUGUGUUUUCUUCCCACUGCAAUACAUGUUUUAAAAGAACCGAGACAACCAUACAUGAGGGCGGAGCAAAUACCAACCGAGACAACCAUCCAUUAAGAUUGUUGAAUUGAAGAUCAAAUGAACAUAGGCGGCACAUCUGCUGAAAGGAUCUCGAAAUGCCUUGUAAUUGGUUAAAAUAAAGAUCAAGAUCUGUAGGAGAACUCGUGUUUUCCACUCCUAAAAUAAGCCCAGUUGCCGGCUUCAUGUGCAACAGAGGCACAUAGAGAAUCUGAAAGCAGUUUUUAUGCACUAUCAGCAGAAUAAUUUGAUCAGUCAGAAUGAUCCCCCCCCCACUAGGCUCAGAUCACAAUUCUUCUUACUUCAAACAAAUCUUUUGGAACCGAUAUGUGGAGGGAUGGCUUGAUUUAUACCGGAGAUUUUGUUGGAAAAUUAAAGAAGCAUGGCUUAAUUUGUACCUUGGAUGCGCAAAUUGAUUACAGGGAAAAAAAUGACAGAAAGUGAGUUGCAGGGAAUGAAAAAGGCAUUAGUAAACUCAACAGCUUGCAGGGCAUCGUUCCUUGGUUUACUCCGUUUUAUUUCUUAUUUUGUUUUUCCUGCCAUUGUCUUAUGUUUGUCUAACUCGCAGUCUGGUCUCUGCAGAGAAUGAGAAAGCACAGACUCUUUAAGAGAAGAUAUUCUCCGGCAAUGGCAUCAAACAGAAAAGUCCGACGUUAACUAAAUGAGUUCAUGGGUCUCUUGUCUGAAUAUAGAAGUGCAGAAACUAAGCUUGACCAAAAACCCCCAUGCUACCAACUACAACUCAACAAGCAACAAAUCAAAUGAAUUGUGAUCCGCCAGUAAACAGCGAAUGGACACUGCCCCAGCAAUAGAUCAUACAAGCUCUGACCAACCGGUCAAAGAUCACGAGGACCCUACCCACUGCCCACUGACUGACAAUUCAUCAAAUAGAUUUAUUGCCGUUCACCACCUUAUUUAGAUGUAUUUUUAAAUAAUAUCCGUGAACUCAAAAAAAAAUCACUCAAAUAUCUCCCUAGAAAACUGACCUUGAACUCUUAACUAGGAGAAAAACAAAGAGGAAAAAUAGAGCUUAUAACAUAGGAAACUACGCUGAAAACUGAGGUGAAAAAAAGUGUAAGAAAUUCUGUAAAAAUGUCCAGAAACACUUUUUAUCACUUUUUACAGAGGAUUUUGAAACCUAAACCAAUGUAGAUUUACUUUUAGUAAUUAUUAAAAAUUAAUUUUUAUCAUUAUCAAUCUUAAUUAUCCGUUAUAAAUUAAAAUUAACCUUAACCCUUUUAGCUUUAAAUAUAAUGCUUUGUUAGAAUUAUAAAAACCAUUCAAAUUGAAAAAAAUUGCUUAGGCUGAAAAAAGUGUUCAGACUCUAUAUUCAUUGACAGUACAAACUGAUGGAUUAGAAAGAAAAAAAAUAUAUAGGCCAAAAAAUUAUAAAUCCAAACCCAAGUUUAAAAUAUAUUGAUAAAAAUUAAUUAUUUAUAGUUUACAAUAAAAUCAGACUUGGGACAAGCAAGCCAAUUAAGCAUGGGACUUCAACUCAAAGUUUACUUUACUUAGGUUUUUUUUUUUAAUCUGAGUGUAUUUUAAUCCAAUUUUAAUUCUUUAUAUUUUUAAUAUAUAAUUAACAAUAAAAAUGUUGUUUUUUUUACGUGAAAUAAAGGUUUUGAAUUUCACAAAGAUAUAUUCAUCAACAAAAUUAAAUUUUUAUUUAUUUAUAAUUUAUUUUAAUUAUUUUAAUAUUUUAUGUUAAAGAGAUUUGGUUGGAGAAUAAGUUUCAAUAAAAUUUAAAUCCGAAAAAUAAGUAGAUUUUAUUUUUAAUUUUAUUUCAAAUAUAUUUAUUUUUUAUGUUUUAAAACAAAUUUUAUCUCAUCUAUGUAUGUAUAAAUAUAUAAUCACAAUUCUCAAUACAGCACUUAUAGUUAGUUAUCGAACGAAAGAAUGUUAUCUCUUUCAGUAUGCCACAGAUAUUCAAAACACGGCGGUCACCCUUAUUAGCUUGCAGUCGUCUAUCGAAGUAUUAUCGCCAAAUCCACAGAAGCAAGGCAAACCACAGUUUUCUCUAGUUAUAGGACUAGACGGUACUGCGCUAGACUGCAGGUUUACAAUAUUUUUUCGAUAAAAUAUUUAAAUCAUGAGAAAAUCAUGCAUGAUUAAAAGAGUAAAAUUCAAAUUAAAAAUAUCAAUACAUGACAAAAUAAAAUUAAAAAAAAUUAAAUAAAAUUUUUAUAAAAAAACUAGAAUAAAAGAGAGGACUGAAACCGAAAAAGUUUAAACAAAAAGGACAUACCUGCAAUUUGAGGGGGGGAGGGAGGAGGAGAAAAAAAAAGGUUCAUCAACAACGAACUGCUCGACCUUCACCUACAUGUAUCGCACCAUGAGAAAGAGGAAGCAGUGAUGCUUCCAACAACACAAUAAAAUGUUUAUUUUUACAACUAGAGGUAUUGCAUGCUAUACUUGAAGUGCUAGCUUUUUAAAUUUUAAUAUUAUUUAUUUUUUUGUUAAAAGAUUACAAUGCGCAAACUAAAAAGAAAAACAAUAUAAAAAGAUAAAGUAUAACCUUGACCUAAAGCUUUUCUUUUUCUUUUUACUUCAAGGAUAUUUAAGUAAGUUUAGUGUACAUUCAAAAGCAUUUAAUGAAAUACCCUUCGACCAAGGUUUUUUUUUUUUUUAAAGUAUAAGACACUUAACAAAAUAAUAAAUAACAAAAAUUAAAAACUUAAAAAGACAAAAAAUACCCUUCGACCAAGGUUUUUUUUUUUUACUCCAAAGCAUUUAAUGAAUCUCGCCCAUAACGACAGCAAGUCUUUAAAAAGUGGAUUUCCUGAUGAAACCUGGAUAGUAUCAGUGCCAGCUCGAGCUCAGAAUGCGGCAUCUAUUGAUUAACUUACCAGUUACCAACACAAGGAGACACACACAACAACUUUAAAAAGGGCAUUAUAUAGCUAAACAUUGAUUAUUAUUUUUAUUUCAUUUUUAAUAUUAUAUUAAUUUUAAAUAUAUAUAUUUUUAAUUUCUCCAUUCAAUAACAAGUUGAAAUUCAUAAUUUUAUUUAAUUCAUUUCUUAUAAUAAUUUUUUUCCCAUCGUUUAAUUAAAUAAAAUAUUUAUUAUAAAAAAUAAAAUUAUUAAACAUAAUUGAGUAUAUGGCUUGUAUUUUUAGGUUAAAUAUUGUAAUUAGAUGUGGGUAUAAGCAUUUUAAUUUAUAAUUAAAAAGAAAAACUAUAUCCAAAAAAGAAUUUAAAAAACCUGUAUAUUUAUUUUUCAAUUAUCUAACCUGCAGCAGUGAAGUGCAAUUGAAAUAGCUAGUAAUCUAACUAAAAAAUUUAAGAUAAGAUUAAGAAAUGAGAAGUUUAUUUGUCAGCAGACAGUAGCUUCAGUAAAUAGAAAAUAUAGACUGUACUGCUGCUGAUCCCGGGAUCAAUGCCCACCUUCAUGGAUUAUAUAUAUAUAUAUAUAUAUAUAUAUAUUCAAUGUGAGAUAUUAAGUCAUUUAGUACAUACUAGUUAGAUGACUUGUGCGGUGCUGCGAGUUAAUUUUUUUUGCAUAAAAAUAUAUAAAAAAACUAAAAUCUAAAAGUAUUAGGUCUUUUUGCAAAGUUAUACCCAAGAAUCUUGGGUUUGGCUGCAACGCCUGACCCAAGAGUAAUAUUUAUAAUAUUAAUUAUAACAUUAAACUUGCAUGACUCAAGUUUAAAUGAGUCUAGAUGCAAUACCAUACCCAAUAGUCUUGGAUGUGGGUCUGGCUGCAAGGUCGUGUAAUAAAAGUGUGAUAAUUAAAUAGAUUAAUUAAAAAUAAAAAAAACAAAGAAAAAAACAAACAUGAAGAAAAAAACUAAUGAAGAAAAAGAAAAAAAAUUUGAAUUAACUGGGUUAACCCUUCAAACCAGGUUAAUCCGUCAAACCUUGGAUUCGUGUCGUGAAAGUUUGAUAACUAAAUAAAAAAAAAAUGAACAUUAACAAACUAAAUUAAAUGAAAAAAAUAAUUAAAAAAAAAAGCAUCAGCCUUUUCACUGUGGACUGCACUGUGCAGUCCACAGUCAAAUGCAUAAAAACAACAAAAAAGCAAAAAGAAAAACUAAAGGCAUCAAUCGAUAACUAAAUAGAAAAAAAAUUUAAUAUUGAUGAACUAAAUUAAAUAAAAAAAAUUAAAUAAAAAGAAGAAAAAACUUAUAAGAAGAAAAAAACUAAUGAAGAAAAAGAAAAAAAAUCUAAAUUAACUGGGUUAACCCGUCAAACCUGAGAUCCGUGUCAUGAAAGUCUGACAACUAAAUAAAAAAAAUUUAAUAUCAAUAAACUAAAUAAAAAAAUUAAUUUAAAAAAAAGGCAUCAGCCUUUUCACCGUGGAUUGCACUGUGCAGUCCAUAGUGAAAGGCAUGAAAAUAAAAAAAACAAAAAAAAACUAAAGGCAUCAGCCUUUUCACUGUGGACUGCAUAGAAUAUUAAAAGAUGAAAUCGGAAGAACAAAACUAAUGAGGAAAAAGAAAAAAAAAAUCUGAAUCAACUAGGUUAAUCCGUCAAAUCAAGUUAACCCGUCAAACUUGAAAGUGUGAUAACUAAAUAGAAAAAAGAUUUAAUAUUAAUGAAAUAAAUUAAAAAAAGAUUAAUUAAAAAGGAAAAAAGCAAAGAGAAAAAAGACCAACAGGAAGAAAAAAACCUAAUGAAGAAAAAGGAAAAAAAUCUGAAUUAAGUGGGUUAACUGGUCAAACCUGGGAUUCGUGUCAUGAAAAUCUGAUAAUUAAACAGAAAAAAUUUAAUAUUAAGAAACUAAAUUAAAAAAAGACUAAUUAAAAAAAGACAAAAAAAAACUAAAGGCAUCAGCUUUUUCACUCUUAAAAAGGAAAAGAGAGAAAAAUAAAAACAAAAGCAAACGCCACGGGUUAAUUUUUUUUUUCUUGCAUAAAAAAUAUUAAAAAAAACUAAGAUCUAAGAGUAUUAGGUCUUUCUGCAAAGAUAUGCCCAAGAGCCUUUGGUUUAGUUGCAACGCUUGACCCAAGAGUAAUAUUUAUAAUAAUAAUAAUAAUAAUAAACUUACAUGACUCAAGUUUAAGUGAGUCUGGCUGCAAGGUCGUGUCAUAAAAGUGUGAUGAUUAAAUAUAUUAAUUAAAAAGAAAAAAACCAACAUGAAGAAAAAAACUAAUGAAGAAAAAGAAAAAAAUAUGAAUUAACUGGAUUAACCCUUCAAACCAGGUUAACCCGUCAAACCUGAGAUUCAUGUUAUGAAAGUUUGAUAACUAAAUAGAAAACAAAAUUGACGGGUUAACCUGUCAAGCCUGGGAUACGUGUCAUGAAAGUCUGAUAAUUAAAUAGAAAGAAAUUUAACAUUAACAAAAUAAACUAAACGAAAAAAAAUUAAUUUAAAAGAAAAAAAGUAAAAAAAAAAUUCUAGGUUAACUCAUCAAACCAAAUUAACCCAUCAAAUCCGGGAUCCGUGUCAUGAAAGUCUGAUAACUAAAUAAAAAAAAUAACAUUAACAAACUAAAUUAAACAAAAAAAAUUCAUAAAAGAAAAAAAAACACAGAAAAAAAACAAAAAAAACAUAAAGGCAAAAAAAACAAAAACAAAAUUAAGUGAGAAUUACUGAUGUGCUUUGCCAAGCUUUGCAACAGAAAUCUCAAGACAUUUUAAAUGCUAUGCAUUUGCUGACUACCAUAAAGACUUUAAUUCAGAAGUUAAGAGAUGAUGGAUUGGAAACUCUUUUAGAACAAGUGACAUCAUUUUGUAAGCAUAAAAACAUUGAAGUUCCUGAUAUGGAUGCUUGUUUUUCUAGUGUGGGACGAUCUCGCUGUAAAACAAAAUCAAUAACAGUUGAGCAUCACUAUCGAGUUGAUAUAUUUAUAGCUAUCAUUGAUCAAUAGUUGCAAGAGCUAAAUAAUAGAUUCUAUGAGCAGGCGAUCGAGCUUCUUAAGUUGAGCAUAGCUUUAGAUCCUAAAAAUAACUAUAAAUUAUUCAGUGUUGAAGAUAUAUGCUAACUUGUUGACAAGUUCUAUCCUGAAGACUUUUCUGACCAAGAAAAAACUCAUUUGAGAUUUCAGUUGCAGCAUUAUGAGCUUGAUGUACCCAAUCAUCCAAAGUUAAAGAAUAUGUCAUCGAUUGCUGAUUUAUGUCAAGGACUGGUUGAAAUAGAAAAAUCAACAAUUUAUCUACUCAUUGAUAAGUUGAUUCGACUUAUUUUGACUCUUCCUGUUUCGACAGCAACUACUGCACGAGCUUUUUCAGCGAUGAAGAUUGUUAAAACAAGACUUCGCAAUCGGAUGGAGGAUGAUUUUCUUGCAAAUUAUUUGAUUGUCUAUAUAGAAAAAGAAAUUGCUGAAAGAUUCACAAUUGAUAUGAUAAUCGAUGAUUUCUACUCCAUGAAAGAAAGACAAAAACAAUUAAAAUAAAUAUGUAAGAAUCAUUCUUUAUUACUUUUUAUUUUAUUUAAAAGUUUUAUCAAACAUAAAUAAUGUAUCGCUUUAGCUAAUGUUUCUUAUAUAUUUUGUAUGUUUAUAUUUGAUAGGUACAAAAACCAACAAAAUUAAAGUGAUGAAUACAUUAUGAAGAUGAAAUUAACUUCAUAGCUUUGACUUAAUUUGAUAUUUGCUUUAAACAUCUUAUCUUAUACAAAAAUCAUAAUAUGUUUGUAAUUACUUUUUUGAAUAAAACUAAAUCAUGUCGUUUUUGUUUUUGUUUUUAUUUUUAUUUUUAUGUAAAGUAAAUUUUUAAAUAAAUUAUAUCUUUUAUUAUUUUAACCCCCAUUCAAAUAAUCCCAGCCCCUGACCGCAAUAACAAUCAAAAUAAAAUCUAAUUCUACCGGCUGCUAAGAAUACUAAAAUAGUGUAAAUUUUGACUUAAUUCAAUUAUUAGAAUUCGGGGCAGAUAACAGUGUUGAAGAAAAUGUCAGAAAAGUAGGGUAAACAGUACAAAUACCUUGGAUGAUGGUGACUAACGCCGUUUGUUUACGCGGGCGCGGGUGCGGUUGCCUUUUAAUUAAUAAAUAUCGGUAGUUGGAGACUUCUUGUUCUCGAAAAGAAAUAGUUAAUAGUGCCAAUAAUUAAUCUGCUCUCAACUUGCUACAAGCUGUCAUUACUCAUUACCAAAAUAUUAAAGAAACAAAUAUUUCCUAUUAGUAGAAAAGCGAUCUAAUAAAGCGAUUGUUCAGUUGACGUUAUUGAAUUGCUUUUUUAUAAAAAGUUAAUUUUUAAAUAUUUAUAGAUUAUUUUAUAUAUAAAUUUAAAAAAAAUCUUAAAAAAUUUAAAAAUAUAUUUUAAUAUAAUUAAAAAAAACAUUUGAAAAACAAUUAAUAGUAUAGUCUCAGGUCUCAACCACCCAAAAUAUACAUUUGAAAAACAUUUUAUAUACCUUGGAUUAAAUUGUGUUGUAGGUUCCACACCAUUUAAAGCUUGCAAAGAAGGAUUUAAAACACAAUCACGCUAAAGAUUUGCAAUCCAAUAUAAUAUGAAAUAAAACCCCAUUGCAUCACCGGACAUGUGAUCAAUAAUAUUAAAAUACUGUAAAUUUUGAUUUAAUUCAAUUAUUAGAGCUUGAGGCAGCGUGACAAUGUGAAAGAAAAUGUCAGAAAAUCUUGGAUGAUGGUGACCAUAUCAGUAAUUUGAGACAGCAAGUUCUCGAAAGGUAAUAGUUGAUGGUACCAAAAAUUAAACCAGCUCUCAACUCGCUACAAAUAGCUGCCAUGGCCUUUCGUUCUACAUUAUAUUUCUUUUUUUACUUUCAUGGAAUCCUCUUUGCCUUCCACCCCAAUCUUGGAUUCUGGUGAAAGUGCAGAGAGGAAAAAUGAAGCAAAAAAUUACAAUGAAGUAAUGUACACCCUUCCAAAAGUUAAAGGCUUGAGGGGGAAUGAUUAUUACCUGUACCAAGGCUUUUGGUACUCUUCCUUCUUCUUGGAAGGACUCAUGUCUGUUCAAGAGCACUUCAAUCCUCAAUCCACUGAUAUAUUUCUCACCAGUUCUCCAAAAACUGGCACAACUUGGCUUAAGGCCCUCGCUUUUGCUAUUCUUACACGAUCCCGUUUAAGUGGUUCAACAACUAGUUCUUUACUUACCAAGAUGCCACAUGACUGUGUUCCUUUUUUGGAAUAUCACCUUGCUCAAAACCCAAGUAAUCGGGACUUGGCAAUUCCCCUGCUAUCUACUCAUGUUCCUUACAGUUGUUUACCUAAAUCUAUCAUUUCUUCUAGUUGCAAGAUUAUUUACAUUUGCAGGGACGCAAAGGAUGCUUUUGUUUCUUUGUGGUGCUUUUUUCCGCGCAUCAAAUGUCGAAAAAUGUUGAACCUCUUCCUCUGGAAGAGGCCUUUGAGAUGUUUUGCAACGGAAUUUCAGUCUUGGGACCAUAUUGGGACCAUGUUUUAGGGUAUUGGAGAGCAAGAUUUGAGUUCCCUGAGAAGAUAUUGUUCUUGACAUACGAGGAAAUGAAGAUAGACACCGCUGCUCAUGUUAAGAAACUAGCUGAGUUCAUGGGUUGUUCUUUCACCUUCGAGGAAGAGGAGGAAGGGGAGGUGCAAAAGAUAAUAAGCAUGUGUAGUUUUGAGAAGUUGAGCAACUUUGAGGUGAAUAAAAAUGGGAAGCACCGUCCCGUCCGGACACAUCAAUUGCUAUUCAAAAUAGUUUAUACUUUAGGAAAGGUGAGAUAGGCGACUGGGCAAAUCACUUGACACCUGAGAUGGGAGCGCGUCUAGAUGACAUAAUGGAGCGGAAGCUCAAGGGUUCAGGCUUGAAGCUGCCCAGGUGACCGUGCCUGGGGUCCCAUUUGCAUAUGAUUAUUGCCGAAGUGGGUUCAUCAAAAGGUGUUAUCAGGAUGUCGUGAAACAGCAACUGUGUAUCCCAAUAAAUACCCUCUCUGUUCAUAGCAAGUAUUCACAUUUUGUGAAUCUUCCAUGUCAAUAAGCAAUAUUCUUUUGUGAAUCUGUGUUUGUGACUUUCAUUGAUUUCCUUGCAUGUUUGUAAGAAUUCAAAAUGGGAUUCGUUUUUUUUUUUUAUUUAACACAAGUGCAUGCAUUCCAUUCAUCAGUUUGAUAAAAAAUAAAUUUACUCUAAUAUAUAAUAUUAGAGUGUUUUCUUCACAGAAAUUGCAGUGUGUUUUUCUUCACAGCUAUACAUGUUUGAAAAGAACCGAGACAACCAUACAUGAGGGUGGAGCAAAGACCAACCGAGACAACCAUCCAUUAAGAUUGUUGAAUUGCAGAUCAAAUGAACGUAGGCGGCACAUCUACUGAAAGGAUCUCGAAAUGCCUUGUAAUUGGUUAAAAUAAAAGAUCAAGAUCUGUAGGAGAACUCGUGUUUUCCACUCCUAAAAUAAGCCCAGUUGCCGGCUUCAUUUGCAACAGAGACACAUAAAGAAUCUGAAAGCAGUUCUUAUGCACUAUCAGCAAAAUAAUUUGACCAGUCAGAAUGAUUUUUUUCCCCCUUACUAGGCUCAGAUCACAAUCCUUCUUACUUCAAACAAAUCUUUUGGAACCGAUAUGUCGAGGGAUGGCUUGAUUUAUACCGGAGAUUUUGAUGGAAACUUAAAGAAGCGUGGCUUAAUUAUACCUUGGAUGCGCAAAUUGAUUACAGGGAAAAAAUGACAGAAAGUGAGUUGCAGGGAAUGAAAAAGGCAUUUGUAAACUCAACACCUUUCAGGGCAUCGUUCCUUGGUUUACUCCCUUUUAUUUCUUAUUUUGUUUUUCCUGCCAUUGUCUAAGUUUUUCUAACUCGCAGUCUGGUCUCUGCAGAGAAUGAGACAGCAAAAACGCUUUAAGAGAAGAUAUUCUCCGGCAACGGCAUCAAACAGAAAAGUCUGACAUCAACUAAGUGCGUGUUUGACACUCCGGUUAUGUUUACAUAAAAAACAUCGUUGUCAUGUGUUUGGUUACAGUCUAAACAUAAUUUUCUGUUUGUGAGACCCGUUAUCAUUUGCUUUUAAACCGCAAGAUAACCAAAAGCAACUUCAAGCUGCCUUUUGUGUUGAGUUGCAAACUUUAUAAACAAAGGCCACAAGAAAAAGAGCAGAAACAUAGCAGUGAAUAGUAAACAGUGGAGAGUAGCUCCCUCUCACCACCGGCAUCCACCGUUUCCACCGCCAGCCACUGCUCUUCCUCUUCCCCUUCUCCUUCUCCUUUAUCUUCUGCAUUGUCCACUGUUCACGUUGCAUGUGAACAGUGGAGAGCAGCUCACCACCGGCCUCCGCUGUUUCCACCGCCAGCCACUACUCUUCCUCUUUCCCUUCCCCUUCUUCUUCUUCUUCUACAUUUUCCACUGUUCACAUGAACAGUGGAGAGCAUCUCCACUAUUCAUGGCCGGAUUGGGUCUGACCCAAACCUAAAUGCAUUGGACUGGGUCCGACCAAGUAAAAUAAAAAAAUCUAAAAACAUUUCUUAGAUAUUGUGUUUUAUUUGAAAAACUAGUGUUUAAAAUUAUUCAAUGACACUAUAUAAUUAUAUUAGAAGGAGAUCGCAUGAUGACAUAGCAUUUGCAGAAUUUGAUUGCAAUCCCAAUUUUGUUCCUAAUGAUAUUUUACCUGAUGUGAUGAUAUUUUACCUGAUGUUGGUAUACGUUCAAGAAGCCAUGAAAACUGUAGUUCUUGUCGGAUGGAUUUCGUACGUGAUUGAAUUGCAAAUAGUUUAAUAAAACAAUAAAAAAUACUUUAUAUAAAGUAUUGUUUAUUUCAUGAUUUAAUAGCAGUAGUUAAAUCUAUAAUAUUUCAAUUAAAAACCAUCAAUAUUAAUAUAUGUUUUUUUUAAUUAUUUUAUAACCUUAAUUUGAAAAAUAUUCUUUAAACCAAACACAUUAAACUACUUUUUGUUCAACCUCAAUUUCAACCACAAUUUUAACCAAAUAUAUAUUUUUUCAAACCAAUCUCAACUAAAAGUAAUUUUUAUAAAACAACUUUUUCAAACUAUAACCACAACAGCUACCACAAUACCAAAUACACAUAAAAAAAACUGUAAUGAUAAGCAAGUUAAAGUGCCACCAUUGAUUUAGGAUCUGCUUUAGAUCUUAUAAGGUGAAAGUAAAACACAAGGAAAUGCAUGCAUGCACACCACUAAUCUUUGAUUCUGGCGAGAACAGUGAUGACUACACUCAGAACCAUAUAGAAUUACAUUCCAAGAUGAAGAAAUUAAUAACAGAGCAGUGCUAUAAAGCUAAAUGUGAGAACCAAAGAUUAAUAAGCAAUGCUGAAAAUUUUAUCAUGCAUAAGAUGAGAGAAGCACAGGACAGAUUUUAUCAAAUCUAUAGUUUUUCUUCAAUAAUAAUAAUAUUUUUUAAAAAUUUAAUAAUAAUAAAAAAAAAAAACUCAUGUUCCUUGGCUCUUUCUCUUGCCAAACUGAAGCUACCAUAGUCAAAUCCAAGUAACUUAGAUGUCACGCUCUUGCUAAACCCAAGUUAUUUGGGUAUGACAUCUCAUGCUGGACUCAUAGCAUUCCAGAUCAAAGGUGUUGAUAUCUAACAAUAAUACCUCACCCGAGCCCUAAGAUGUGAUUGCUUUUCUAGACCCGAGGGCCAAGGCACCAAGACACUAUUCACUAUAAGUCAAGUCAAUGAAUCAAUCAAUCGAUUUUAAAGAUCAAGUUUUUUUUUUAAUAGAGAAACAAAACUUUUAUUAACAUUGAAAUAACUCUUAAAAUCUUAAUAAAAUUAAUUUGAAGUAAAAAUAAUAUUAAAAGAAAUAUUCAGAAGCACUUUUUGAUUGUAAAAUCAAACACACUAAAAUCAUGUAGAUUUUCAUUUAGACAUUAAAAUUCAAGAAGAAAUUAAGUUCACAGUACUAUUAAUUCAAUCGAUGAAGGAUUAGACCCAACUACUUUAGGGCCACCAUUGACAUUGAUUACUUUGAAUAAUUUUAAUUUAUAGGCAUAAAAAAUUAAUACAUAUCUUUAAGAGGAUCAAUUUUAGAUUAUCUCUCUCUCUCUCUCUCUAUUUUUUUUUUGGUUUUCAAAUAUUUGACAUUUUCGUUUAGAUAAGCUCUAGUGUGUGUUUUUUUAAGAUUAUUUUAAAUCAUGUUUCUUGAAAUGUCAAAAACAUUUCAUGGAUUAAUUUAACUUAAUAACGCCAAAGAAUUAGGAAUUAAAACUGACAAUUUCCACCAUGUAAGAGUACCUAAUUGAAAAUUUACUUUCUUAUCAUUUACCUCAAUUAAGCGGAAGCAUGAUCAUGAGAAGGGAUUUGGAGAAAGAAUUAUAAACAGAGAAUAAGAGAAAAUGUAAUGUGUAUAGAUUUUCUUAAUGAAUUAAUUAUGAUACAACAGAAGCUCAUAUAUAUAUAUAUAUACAUUCUAAACUAAUCAGUUAUGAAAUGUUAUUACAAAUAUAAUUUGAAUUUCAAUUUUAAAAUCAUGAUUAGUGCAGGUUUAUCAAUGCAGCAGAAUAUCCAUCAUAAACAAGAAGUUCACAGUUACAAAGUUUGAAUCUUUGUAACUGUAACUCUCUUUUGAAACUCUCUUCUUGGUCUUCAAUAUCCGUUAGCUAGCUGGAGAUGUAACAGUUACAAAGUUUGAAUCUUUGUAACUGUAACUCUCUUCUUGGUCUUCAAUGUCUGUCAGUUACAAAGUUUGAAUCUUUGUAACUGUAACUCUCUUAUGCUUAACAUUCCCCUGCAAACUGAUGGGGAUAGGAAUCACCAUCAAUUUGGACCGUAAAAACAUAAACCUUGCUGUAGUAUGACCUUUGGUGAAGACAUCUGCAAUCUGGUCAUAUGUUGAAAUAUAUCGUACAAGAAUAUCCUUAUUAAGAACUUUUUCACGGAUGAAGUGAUAAUCCACCUCUAUGUGCUUCGUUCGGGCAUGAAAAACAGGAUUAGAGGCAAGAGAUAUUGCACCUACAUUAUCACACCAUAGUGUAGGAGGUGACGACAAUGAAAUGCCAAGAUCUUGCAAUAACAUUCGAAGCCAAUAUAGUUCAGCAGUGACAAGAGCCAUGGAUCGAUAUUCGGCCUCAGUACUGGAUUUAGACACAACACUUUGUUUCUUUGCACUCCAGGAUAUGAGAUUUUGGCCUAGAAACACAAUAUAACCACUUGUAGAUUUUCUAUCAUCAGGAUUCCCAGCCCAAUCUGCAUCACAGAAAGCAUCUAAUGUUGUUGUCGAUUGAGUGUAGUGAAUACCAUAAUCAAUUGUUCCUUUCAAGUAACGAAGAACUCUUUUGGUAGCAAUCCAGUGUGGUUCUCGUGGAGCAUGCAUGAAUUGGCAUAAUUGGUUCACUGCAUAGCUGAUGUCAGGUCUUGUUAAAGUGCAAUAUUGAAGAGCACCAAUAACUUGAUGAUAUUCAGUUGGAUCAUUCAAUAUCCGUUAGCUAGCUGGAGAUGUAACAGUUACAAAGUUUGAAUCUUUGUAACUGUAACUCUCUUAUGCUUAACAUUUGGGAGGCACUUAGAUUAGGCUCUUCUCUAGUCUUGAGAAGCAAAACCAAUAGAGACGUGAUUGCGCACUCCCUGAGCUAUAUAGUAAGUGGCUGCAAACAAAUUGUCAGCACCAAUUCAGGUCCGGAAAAUUAAAGCAUUGAAGCAUAAAAGGUGACCUAACCUAAUUAAGCAAAUUACUACUUAUUCCAGCAUCACCUAGGAGUGAGACAGCCAGCCCAUCCAGUGUCUACAUGGUAAGGGAAUAAUUCCUUCAAGAAUGCAGAGAAAAUUAUACUUGCAAUACAACUAUAAACGAGAUGGUACAGUGCGGAAGGCAAGAUGUUAAAUCAAUUGAUCUUAUUAUAAUACUGUGAAAUAUGAUCAGGACAAAAAAAUAAAUAAAGAAAGAAAGAGUUGUUUAUUUUACAAUGAUCGAUAUGAUGCUUCUUUGCAUGUGGAAUCUUCGUCAAAGACUUGUUGAAAAUGCCAAAUUGUGAUCCACUUUUGGCUGUGUCAAAUGCAUGGGUGGGGCUUCACACAGAGCUAUUACCCCUUGUGUAAACUCAACGCCAGUUUUCAUGAGUUCUUUGGGAUUCUAACAUAGUAAAAAAAAGAAAGAUAAAAUAACAAAGUGUAAAGAAUAUUUAGUGAAAUAGAUAUUCGUGAUUAAUCAGUAGCAAUUAUUAUAUGCUGGCUCUCUCGGGUUUACUUGACAGAAGAUUUAUUAAAAAGAGUUGAUAAAGGAGAAAGAAAAGAAAAGAAAAUCUUCAAGGUAUAUCAAAACUCUGAUAAUAAUAUUAUUGGUAUUGUUAAAAAAAUCUCGACAAGACAAAUCGAAAAAUAACAAUGAAGGUCAUCAAUGACGAUAAAAAUAAGUCAUACGAGUGGCCCAAGAUAAGUGAGUUUUAAUACUUUUGAACAGCUUGUAUGAUUCAUUUUAUUCACUAUUUAUAAUCUUUUUUGAUGCUGUUAAAUUCAUCUUGUAAUGAUGUUGAUAAUGUUAUCAUUAUAAUUUCAAUGUAUUUUUAUUUUUAUUAUUAUUUUUUGUUUUGCUCUCUCUCCUCUCUCAUUGUAAUUUAUGAAGAGUAAGAGAGGGGGAAAAAAAAAACCCUAGUCUUCCAAUUUAAUCUGGCUGAAUACUACUAUCUCAAUCUUAUUCACUACUUUGUCAAAGCAAAGUAGAUUUUUCCUUAAAUAAGAUCUAAUCCACCGGCGGAUAGGUGAUCAAGAAUAUUAAAUUAGUGUAAAACUUGAUUUAAUUCAACAUUAUAAUUAGAGGUGCUAUAAUAAUGUGAAAAAAAGAAUAAAAAAACUAGAUGAUGGCGACCACAUAUCAAUAAUUCCAGACAUCACGUGGAGCACUUUCAUCAUCAUUAUUAUUAUUGGUAUAAUAAUGUUUGUUGUAUUAUUUUUUAAUUGUUAAGUUGUUUACUAUAUGUUAAAAUUUCAAGAUCUUCAAAGAUUGGGAAGAUCGGAUCUAAAGUUACUAUGGGACUGUCUUUAUUUUCCUAUUUGGAUUUUUUUAUUUAUAUUAAGAAUUUAAAUUUAAUUAGUAUUUUAUUAUUUAAAAAUUUUAAUGGUAAAUUGAUUCUAUUAGUUAGGUAAAUUUUAAAUAUAAAUUAUUUUUCUAUACAAAAUUUUAAAUCUAGAACUAAUAUAAAUAAAAAUAUUUAGUUUAUUUUUGUUCGAGGAUUCAUAUUAUUAUUUAAAUUUUUUUAUAAAUAUUUAGAGAUUUUUUCUAAUUUCCUAUGGUGUUAGGGAUUAUAACCUUAAGGUUUGGUUUGAAAUAAUGAUGACAGUUAUUUCUUAAAGUGUUUUUCACUUGAAAAUACAUUAAAAUAAUAUUUUUUUUAUUUUUUAAAUUUUUUUUUGAUAUCAGCAUAUCAAAACAAUUCAAAAACACCAAAAACUUAAUUUGAAAAAAAAUCAAAAUUUAUAAAAACCCCGGUUAAAAUGUUUUACCAAACACUUCUUAGUUUUUAAUAUUAAUACAUCAAAACAAUCCAAAAAUAUUAAUUUAAAAUUUUUAAAAACUCCGGUUGCGUUUGUAAGAUGUGUUGCGGCUCUCAACUUGCUACAAUGGCCUUUCUUUAAUAUUUUAUUUACACCAUUCAUGGAACCCUCUUUGCCUUCCACACAAAUCCCGGAUUUUGGUGAAACUGCUAAGAGGAAAAAUGAAGAGCUUUCCAAAGGCCAUGCUAAAACUACAAAGAAGUGAUCUCUACCUUUCCAGAAGUUAAAGGCUUUUGGGACGUUCCGCUCUUCUUGGGAAGACUCAUGUCAGUUCAAGAACACUACAAGCCUCAAUCCACUGAUAUAUUUGUCGCCAGCUUUCCAAAAACGAAGGAAAUCUUUGGUUAAUGUUCUCUGAAUCUCUCCUUUUCUCCUUCAAGAGUGAAAUUUAUGUGCCUUUCGUACCUUUUUACGUUAGAACAUUUCAUUUGUUCUUGUUUUCUAAAUUGAGUCUUUUCUAUGCGUUUUAUUAUUUUAUUUAUUGGGUAUUUGAGAGUGUAGUAAUAGUUAUAAUUUAAAGUGUUUUUAUUCAAAAAUAUAUUAAAAUAAUAUAUAUUUUUAAUUUUUUAAUAUUCAUCUUUUGACAACAUCACUCCAAAACAUUAGAAAACAUAAAAAAAAAAAAAACAAUUAGAAAACAAUUAGAAAACGCAAGAUUGCAUCAAUGCUAAAUGCAAUAUAUAUAUAUAGGUGCGCGCGCGCGCGUGUGUGAGAGAGAGAGAGAUCCACCUGUGUGUGAAAUGCAUAGUGAUGUUCCACAGCGAGCCAUUAUCUAUUAUGUAAAAUCUCUGAGAAAUGUCAUAGAUCAAUUGGUCGAUAUAGCAAAUUGAUAGGUUAAAGCUGCUCAUAAUCAAUACCUCUAAAAGAUUAUCUUUGGUGGAGAUGAAAACUUUUUGAUAUGUAAAUAAGUAUUUAAAAAAAAAUUAAAUAUUCUAUAAAGAGAUGUUCUGAAAAUACAAAUGCAGUAGAGAAUUGGAGAUUGUGAAUCUUUAUUAUGAAGGUCUCAUGAUAUAUUUAUAGCUCGAAUCUUGUCAUUUUGUGAAAAUAAGAGUUUGCAGUGUAAUUAACCUGAUAACAUUUAAUGAGGAAUAAAUAUCAUUUACAUGAUGGGAAUAUGGUGGGUCCUCGAAGGAGUUUUAUACACCUUAAAAGGUAUCAGAAAAUUAGAGUUUAAGAUAUCAAGUGUAGCUGAGCUUAUAGAGAUCAAGUUCUUUCUUGAGAUUAAAUCCAAGGGAGGUUUGUCAUUCCCCUGGACAUGCCAAGGAAGAAUGGUUAUUAUCUUGGACUUGGUUGGUUGCCAAAUCCAAGCAUCUUGGGCAUGACAUGCGUGCCAGAUCCACACUACCUUGAAGUUGGAGCACUACUAAGUCCAAGCGCCUCGGGUCUGACAUGCAUGCCAGACUUAUACUACGCUGGACUUGGUGCAUUACUAAGUCCAAAUGCCUUGGGUCUGAUAUGCCUGUUAGACCUAUAUUAUCUUGGGCUUGACGCAUUACUAUAUUCAAGCACCUUGAACUUAAUUAAUUGUCAAGUCCAUGCAUCUUAGAUUUAGAUCUAACAUAUACACUAGACUCAUAUUACAUUGAAUCUAGCGCAUUACAAAGUUAUAAUGCCUUGAAUUAAGUAUAUGUGCCACAUCCAUACAUUUUAAAAAACCAAACGAAAACUAAAUAAAAAGUUGACUCAUCGCUAAUCUAUAAAUACUAUCUACAUAAUGGCCUUAGUUGAUAUCUUCUACCGCUUACUACAUUUACUUGAAUAAUGAAAAUGUUUUUUUUUUUUAAUGGAAAAGAGAUUUUAACUCCAUCUUCAAUUACUAUAUAAAUGUUUCCUUGGGUUUUGAAAACGCAAUCAUGCUAAAAAUUUAUUAUCUAAUAUAAAAUAAAAUGUAUUUGUUUUUAUAUUUUAAAAAUGUUUUUUUUUUAAUUUUUUAAUUUUCAUCUUGUUUUGAUGUGUUAAUAUUAAUAAUAAAUUUUAAAAAUAAAAAAAAUAUUAUUUUAAUAUAUUUUUUAAAUUAAAAAUAUUUUAAAAAAUAACUAUUACAACAUUAACGAAUAAGAUUUAAUAUAAAAAACAUUCUAAUUGCAUCAGCUGAGAGGUGAUCAACAAUACCGCAUUCCCGAACUUCACAUCCCUAUAUUAAUGGAUUGUGUUGUGGGCUCCACGCCAUUUAAAGCUUGUAAGAGAAACCACACCUCUAAAUAGAAACCACACGAUCACGCUAAAAGAUUUGCUAUCGAAUAUAAUAUGAAAUAAAACCCAAUUGCAUCAGCGGACAUGUGAUCAAUAAUAUUAAAAUAAGGUAAUAGUUGAUGGGCCACAAAUUAAACCAGCUCUCAACUCGCUACAAAUAGCUGCCAUGGCCUUUCAUUCUACGUUAUAUUUUCAUUUUUUACAUUCAUGGAAUCCUCUUUGCCUUCCACCCAAAUCUCGGAUUCUGGUGACAGUGCAGAGAGGAAAAAUGAAGCUAAAAAUUACAAUGAAGUGAUGUCCACCUUUCCGAAAGUUAAAGGCUUGAAUGGGUAUGAUUAUUACCUGUACCAAGGCUUUUGGUACGCUCCCUUCUUCUUGGAAGGACUCUUGUCUGUUCAAGAGCGCUUCAAUCCUCAAUCCACUGAUAUAUUUGUCGCCAGUUGUCCAAAAACUGGCACAACUUGGCUUAAGGCCCUCACUUUUGCUAUUUUCACACGAUCCCGUUUAAGUGGUUCAACAACUAGUUCUUUACUUACCAAGAUGCCACAUGACUGUGUUCCUUUUUUGGAAUAUCACCUUGCUCAAAACCCCAGUAAUCGGGACUUGGCAAUUCCUCUGGUAUCUACUCAUGUUCCUUGCACUUGUUUACCUAAAUCUAUCAUUUCUUCUUGUUGCAAGAUUAUUUACAUUUCCAGGGACGCAAAGGAUGCUUUUGUUUCUUUGUGGUACUUUCUUGCCAGGCUGCAAAUGUCGAAAAAUGUUGAACCUCUUCCUCUGGAAGAGGCAUUUGAGUUGUUUUGCAAUGGAAUUGCAAAUUUUGGACCAUAUUGGGACCAUGUUUUAGGGUAUUGGAGAGCAAGCUUC
rnacentral:lncRNA from 1 species